CCGGGCGUGCAGUCGACCUCCCGGGGCUCCCGUCUCACAGACUGCUGCCGGGGCAGCGCGCGGCUCGGCGCACCCAACGGACGCCACAGACCUCCCGCGGGCGGCCCGGCCGCGCGCCGGGGCUCGCGGGGGAUUCCCGCCCAAAGUCCGGAGCCGCCGCGGUACCACAAGAUGGCGCUGUCGUCACGGCAAAAGCGCUCCUGCGAAGGUACCGGCGCUUCUGGCGGCCUUCCGAGAUGGUGCUAAAUGCACCUCGGAAACAAACAAAAAAUACCUUAACUUCGUGGCCGGCAACGUAGAAGGGAAAAAAAAAAAAAAAAAAGGGCUUUGGAAGAAUAAUCUGUAAUCUCUGAGUUUGCAAAUUGGCCCCAAGCAUGGAAAGCAAACAUAAGUGUGGAGACAACCUGGGCAGAGCUGCAGUUCUGAAGAAAAACAGCCUUCUGCUGACUGAAGAGGAAGAAGGAAAACAACAACCUUGCAGCAACCCCCUAUCACUGCUGUGCAAUCCAAAUUCAAGCCUUUGGUGGCUCUGGGAAAGUGGCAGGAGCUCUGCUUGACGCCAUUAACCUUGACCGUCAGGGCUCUUUGUGAUGAGCAUCUGGUGGGUGUGAAGGUUUAGAGUCCUCUGAUGGGCCUGCCCAGCUUCUGAGGAUAGCCAAGCUGCCAGCUGCACUGCACAGAGGGGUAUUUAUGUUUUCCUCUGGCAACACAGAUGAGCUGGUCAUGAAACACCUACAGAUGACAUCCUGAAACUGUCUAGCCUUGAAAAUGGCUGUAAACUCCAUACCUUGACGAUUUUCAGUGCCGCUUUCCAGAACAUUCAAGUUUGUGUCCUCUCCCAGCACUGCAGAGAAAUUUGGUCCUGCUUGUUUGCUAACACAGCACAGCAGUGAGGGGUCACUCCUGGAUGCUGCUCAUUGCUUACUGCCCUGACUGCAGCAGAAAACUUACACUCACCCUUUUCCCAGGAAAGAGGUAGCUUUGGAAGAAUCCCCCAGUUCCUCAUCCUGAGAGCUUCAGGAUAGCCAACAAGUCUGGGUACAAGCUUGGUAUCUACUUGGCUCACACCAGUCCUCCUGAACGUCAGAGUAUCAAGAGCCAGAACUUUGUUUCCUGGCCAUCUCCAGCUGUUACUGCAUCUCCUGGCACCGGAAACAGAGCCAUUGAGCACCACGCAUCUUCGGGACGACAAUCGCAUCACACAGAUCUGAGGGCCUGGAAUGAGCAUGAUGACACGUUGUUGUGGUCACCCCAUUCCUUAAGGCUGUGUGGGGUUUGCUGGAGGCAGGCAGGCUGGGAACGAUGCUCUUCAGACACCCAGAGUGAUCUUUACUCAACCAGGUAA